rnacentral:lncRNA from 1 species
UUGGAGCUGCUAGCUGUGGUCCACCCAUCAGCGCCUGCAGGCACAUGCUGAGAUUAGUCGAUUUCCUAAAAGUUGAAGGAAAAAUCACCCAGCUGACCUGUUUGGGUUAUGAUUUUAACUCACUAAGCUUUGGGGAGCUUUAUUACACAGCAGAAGCUAACUGGUGUAUUACUAUUAUUACUAUUAUUCUAAGAACCAAAUACCAGGCAAACCUCUAGGAGGAAAAUUGUAAUGAAAGUCACCUCAUUGAUUUGUGGCCGGGCUCAGUGGCUCAUGCCUGUAAUCUCUGAGGCUGGUUUUGAACUCCUG